UACAGAGGUCUCAAGCGUUGUUCGGCUUCAUUGGGCGUAAAGGGCGCGUAGGCGGCGCCGUAAGUCGGGUGUGAAAUUUCGGGGCUUAACUCCGAAACUGCAUUCGAUACUGCGGUGCUUGAGGACUGGAGAGGAGACUGGAAUUUACGGUGUAGCAGUGAAAUGCGUAGAGAUCGUAAGGAAGACCAGUGGCGAAGGCGGGUCUCGGGACAGUUCCUGACACUGAGGCGCGAAGGCCAGGGGAGCAAACGGG
rnacentral:rRNA from 1 species